CACACAGCGUCCUUCCACGGAGUUUUGAUACGCAUGAAUUUUUGAGUCUAUUGUGUUGAUUUCAUUCAGGCAGUCCUUGGGAACAUCGAAGGGGUCCAUUAUUGGAGACGUCACUGGUGACUUGGAAAAUGUAGCCGAAACUUGAUAAACAUGACAUUUUGUUAAAUUGUCGAUAGCAGAAGUUUACAAAUGCGUAGUAUGUAUUAUAAGACCCCAAAUGGCACCAACUGGACAUAUACCAAAUUAAAAGCUUUAGGACAGGCUAAAACAGACUCUUCUGGCCCAGCCAUGCCGCAGAAGAGCGCCCAGACUGCACACUACAUUGAGCUGGGAAGUUAUCAGUACUGGCCUGUGCUGGUGCCCAGAGAUAUCAGACUGUACACCUACGAACAGAUCCCAGCGUUUCUGAGGGAGAACCCCUACAUCACAGAUGGAUACAGAGCCUACCUGCCCUCCAGACUGUGCAUCAAAAGCCUCUUCAUUCUGUCUAAUGAGACGGUGAAUAUCUGGAGCCAUCUGUUGGCCUUCCUGCUCUUCUUCUGCCUCGGGGUGUACAACAUGGCCUCGGUGCUACCGUCCAUUGGCGCCUCCAGAGACGACUACGUCAUCUACUCCAUAGGGCUUUUCUGCUUCCAGCUGUGCAUGCUGUGUUCGGUGGGUUACCACCUGUUCUGCUGCCAUCGCUCAGAGAAGACCAGCCGCCGCUGGAUGGCGCUGGAUUAUGCUGGUGUCUCCAUCGGCAUCCUGGGCUGCUACGUCCCCGGAGUCUUUUACACCUUCUACUGCAAUAAUUACUGGCGGCAGGUGUACCUGGUGACGGUGCUCGCCAUGAUCCUGGCUGUCUUCUUCGCUCAGAUCCACCCUCAGUACCUCAGCAAGCAGUGGAAGCAGCUGCGCUCGCUCAUCUUCUGUUUGGUGGCCGGGUACGGCCUCAUCCCCACCGCCCACUGGAUCUGCAUCACUGGAGGCUUCUCCUCAGAGCUCGUCCAGGCUUUUGUUCCUCAUGUCCUGGGGAUGUAUUUCAUCGCUGCACUGGCUCUUAUUUUCUACGUUUCAAAAGUUCCUGAGCGUUACUUCCCAGGUCAGGUGAACUACCUGGGCUCCAGCCACCAGGUGUGGCACCUGCUGCUGGUUCUCAUGUUUUACUGGUGGCACCAGUCGUCAGGCUUCAUCAUGGCGUACCGACACAGCCAGCCCUGCCCCGAUGUGCCCCAGCACGCUUAACACGCUGCUUGGCAUGCUGGGAGUUCUGGCACUUAGAAACAAUAGCUGCCUCCACUACAAGGCAGCAAAUCACCGCAGCUAUUGGCCGAUCAGUUCCAAGACCAGAACGAAGUAUAGUCUAUGAUCUGUUACCUGAUUGGGCUGUGAUCGACAGGAAGCACACAAACACAGUGCAGACGGACUCUUUAAUGACAGGUUGGUGAACGGCUGCAGCGUGGCCCUGCGUGCAGAGGCCAGAGGGCGCCAGACUCCAUGCCCACCUGGCUUCUUCAGUCAGACCACAGACGGAGAGUUUCUCCCCCAAGAGCGUCUUCAGGUCACCUCACCUGUGAGUUGCUGCAAACAGGAAUCAAACUUGCGACUUCUAGGAUGUGAGGUGACACUAUUGAGGUUUCCGAUAAAACACGACCGCCGACUGAUCGUACAUCAGUGAUGACAACAACUUUUACCAGAAUGUCAGACAAACCAACAACAGUCCAGAGUUUUAGGCUACUGUGCUUACUUCACUUUUACGUCCUGUUAAGGAUUAAUCAGUGUAAAAAUCACAGAUGAAGCCACAAAAACUGCCCAACCAAGGUUGGUCAAGUAGUAUUUUACUUCUUUUUUUAAAGGAUCCUGCAUAUUUCUUUAAGUGCCUGUAAAUAACCCAUAAUGUAGCUCUAGUUAAUUUAACUUGAAUUGCAUAAAAUUUAGCCGUUAGUAAUCCCAUGAUGGUUUGAAAACCAUUUUGUGGAAAUUAGGCUUCAGUGAAAUGUGCAAGGGAAAAUAAAAUAGUUGAGACACUAUCCCUCUGCAGUUACACUAAAACUGUGAGUAAACUAUGAGAUAAUGCUGCAGAACCUGUCAUUAGGUUUUAGCAGAAGCUAACUCAGCAUCCUUAGUGUUCCAUAUCCCAAACAAAUACAGAGUACACACGGGCUUCAGAGUUGCUACCUGCAGUGUAACUCACUAGAUCCAUGUACUGAGCAGCUUCAGAACCUGCUUGGAAACACUGGGUUUUUAAUAUUUCAGCAGCAGGAUGGUUACAUAACUCUGACAGCACAUCCAGCAGCAGGUAGCAGAAAGAGUGCUGAUGGCUAAUCCACCGUACUUAGUGCUCCAAAAGGUAAACAAAUAUAGCCUAAAACUGGCGCCCACAUUGUAACACACACUGUCCAUGGCAACGUUACGUAGCCUCUACUCCCUGUUACUUGUCAAAGUUUAUAUCUGUUCACAGGAGUGAUGAUGAUUAACACUUAUUGUUUAAUGCUUCGUCAUCAUUAGGAGAGGUGGAGAUCAGGACCUUGUAACGGGCCGGGUUAUGGCCGAUGUUUAGGCCACCUGAUGUGUCUACAUCCUGUAGGCCAUCAGACCAGCUAUGUAAUGGAUUUGAGCUCAAGUACCAGUUAAAUUUUGUUGUGUAGUAUUUUGGAAAAUGUUUCAUUAAACGUUAAAGGUUCAGUCACGUGAACAGAUCGUACUUUUACACCAAACAGCCAGAAUGUUGCCAUAGAUACGAGUUACUGUGGGCUGCAGCUUGGGCGCCAUUUUAGCCUGUAUUUGUUUGCGUAUUAGAACACUAAGUAUGCAGAAUUAACUAUUCAUUUUUGCUAUGUGCUAUCGUAUGUGCUGACAGAAUUACAUUAAACUUUUAAAAACCCAAAUGUUUGUUAAGCAGGUUCUGAAGCUUUCCAACUCCUGCUCAGUACCUGUAGUAAGUUACACUGCAGGCAGCGACUCUGAAGCCCAUUUUUAGUACUUGGUGAUACUGAGUAUGCCAAGUUAACCAUUAACAGUUCACUUUUGCAAUGUGCUAUUGGAUGAACUGACAACUACCACUGAAUUACUUUGGUACUAAAGAAUUUGUUAAAACCUGAUGAUUUUCAGGCAGGUUCUGCAGCGUUCCAGUGUUCCCAUUAUCUCAUAACUAUGAGAAAAGGGUCUUGUAAUUAUGAGAAAACAAGUCAGUUACAACAUAAGAUCCUCCAAUUUUUCUUUGGGGAAUGCAGUGCGCCUCCGUAUCUUGGUAAAACGGCAGCUCUUCCAAAUGAAAACAUGCAAAAACAAACCAGUUUUUCACCACAGUUAAUGUUUAGAUAUAAAAACCAAAGACACAGACACGGCUGUGGAACAGAAUUUUAUCCUUCUGUUUACCAGUUUCUUACAUUUAGGGUUUUUUUGUUUCAGUGUGAACAGUGUUCUCUACCUGUUCCAGUCCCAUGAUGGUGAACUGUUAUUACUACUACUGUGUACUGUGUGUCUCUUCCUCUCAGACCUCCCAUGUACCUGUGAGAGACAUGCCAGCUAGAACACAGAGUGCACAGUAGUAGUAACAACUCGCCAUCAUGGGAUGGAAACAGCUGGCAUGUCUCUCUCAGGUACAUGGGAUGUUGGGGGAGGAAACUGGGUGUUCACUGCUGUAAUGUUUUCUGUGGGUGAAAAGAGUGAGAACAGUUUAUUAAUGACAAACUGCUGAAUUCCUGAUGGCCUGACUGAUCAAAGUAUUUUAUUGGAAGCUCUUUCAGAUUUUUUUUUUUUUCUGGUCCCUACCACUGAAAUUGGAGGCCUGUAAGAGCUGGGUGUUAAGGAGCUGCUAGUGAGACAUAGGCCUUCAAACUGUGUCCCAGUUUCAAAGUCUGAAGUGACCGAUGUCACUGUGUAACUGAGCAUUAUAAAAUACAAAAUGCACAUGCCACUGAAAAAUAGUUUCUAUAAUGUGCAUUAAUUUUGUAGCUUUGGCACCUGUGGACUACAGUGUACUUUCACUUUAACAAAAAAAGACAAGGCAGCGACAGACAAGCAAACCUUUUUCAAGUAUUUUUUUCCAGUGAUUUACUACAUUGUUUUGUACUUUCUCAGUAUGUAGCAUCAAUAUUCACAUAUUUACAACCUUUCUAUCUCACUGUGCUACUGCAGGCACUCAUGUAACUGUCAAGUUUAAAUGAGUUUGAAACUGGGACCCAGUUUAGAUUUUACGAUUCAGGCACUGGUUUAACAUUGAAAUAGCUGCAGCCGUGUGUUUCCUACUGGGGCGUCAGGCAACUUCACUACUAUACUGUCCUAGUUGCAACUACAUUAGACUUUGUGUUGAAAACGUGCUUUUUCUGCCUGAACUGACAAGAAAAUCUUCGACUGUAGGUAAAACAGUGUUUCAGAUAGUGACUCAUUUAGGGUGAUGUGCAAUUUUGCAUUUCAGUGGCUUCACUCCAAAAUGCAACAAAUCCACAUAGGAGAGAAGUCGUCUUAACAGAUUGUGCGUCUCUUUCAAAUGCUACAGUUUUGUAAAAGUACUAGUGCUUGUUUCAUUUUGGAGUUAAAUCAUUUGUUUUCUGUGAUACUUAACAUUUUAAGAGGUUUCUCUGGUGUUACAAUUUCAGAUGUUUUUGUUCUGUAUUUAAAUGAUGAACUUGCCUGUGAAGGUUGCUUUAAAACACUGUCUUUAAGCUUA